GACGAACGCUGGCGGCGUGCUUAACACAUGCAAGUCGAACGGAAAGGCCCUGCUUUUGUGGGGUGCUCGAGUGGCGAACGGGUGAGUAACACGUGAGUAACCUGCCCUUGACUUUGGGAUAACUUCAGGAAACUGGGGCUAAUACCGGAUAGGAGCUCCUGCUGAAUGGUGGGGGUUGGAAAGUUUCGGCGGUUGGGGAUGGACUCGCGGCUUAUCAGCUUGUUGGUGGGGUAGUGGCUUACCAAGGCUUUGACGGGUAGCCGGCCUGAGAGGGUGACCGGCCACAUUGGGACUGAGAUACGGCCCAGACUCCUACGGGAGGCAGCAGUGGGGAAUAUUGCACAAUGGGCGGAAGCCUGAUGCAGCAACGCCGCGUGCGGGAUGACGGCCUUCGGGUUGUAAACCGCUUUCGCCUGUGACGAAGCGUGAGUGACGGUAAUGGGUAAAGAAGCACCGGCUAACUACGUC
rnacentral:rRNA from 1 species